rnacentral:rRNA from 1 species
UACGGGAGGCAGCAGUGGGGAAUAUUGCACAAUGGGCGCAAGCCUGAUGCAGCCAUGUCGCGUGUAUGAAGAAGGCCUUCGGGUUGUAAAGUACUUUCAGUCGUGAGGAAGGUGUUAAGGUUAAUAACCUUAGCAAUUGACGUUAGCGACAGAAGAAGCACCGGCUAACUCCGUGCCAGCAGCCGCGGUAAUACGGAGGGUGCGAGCGUUAAUCGGAAUUACUGGGCGUAAAGGGCACGCAGGCGGUUAAUUAAGUUGGAUGUGAAAUCCCCGGGCUUAACCUGGGAAUGGCAUUCAAGACUGGUUAGCUAGAGUCUUGUAGAGGGGGUAGAAUUCCAUGUGUAGCGGUGAAAUGCGUAGAGAUGUGGAGGAAUACCGGUGGCGAAGGCGGCCCCUGGACAAAGACUGACGCUCAUGUGCGAAAGCGUGGGGAGCGAAAC